AGUAAUCGAAGCAGUGAACUUAAGCCCCAGUAAACGGCGGCCGUAACUAUACCGGUCCUAAGGUAGCGAAAUUCCUUGUCGGGUAAGUUCCGACCCGCACGAAAGGCGUAACGAUUUGGGCACUGUCUCAACAACCGACUCGGUGAAAUUGUAAUUCCGGUGCAGAUGCCGGAUACCUGCGACAGGACGGAAAGACCCCAUGG
rnacentral:rRNA from 1 species